rnacentral:rRNA from 1 species
ACGGAGGGGGCGAGCGUUGUCCGAAUUAUUGGGCGUAAAGGGUGCGUAGGCGGUGCGGUAAGUCUGUUGUGAAAUCUCCGGGCUCAACUCGGAGCCUGCAACGGAAACUGCCGUGCUUGAGUAUGGGAGAGGUGAGUGGAAUUCCCGGUGUAGCAGUGAAAUGCGUAGAGAUCGGGAGGAACACCAGUGGCGAAGGCGGCUCACUGGCUCAUUACUGACGCUCAGGCGCGACAGCGUGGGGAUCAAACAGGA